rnacentral:lncRNA from 1 species
GAAGGACUUCCGGUGGCUUCCAAGGCGACUCCGUAGUGGAUGCAGCGCCGGACGCCACAGCCGAAAAACAGAAUCUUGGAACUGGUUUAGUACAAUCCAGGUCGAGUUCCUUGUUUUUUAUCCGAGUGGCCGGCAGGCCCAUGUGCUGUCUUGUUUUUAACACAUCAGCUCUUGCCGGAAGCCGCUAAGAGAUAAAAUAGGAAGUCCCACCCUUCCCUUAGAGAAGGAAAACGGAGAGCCGAAGGAGUCAAUCUAAAUUCGAUGAGCGCGUCGGGCUCCAAGGCAGGCGCUGUCAGCCCGGGAGGGCUGUCUGGGAUUUCUAGAGGGUCCCAGAACGGGUUCUUCCCAGGCCGAUCCCGCCUGCUUCCUGCCCCGUCUCUCCACCCGCCUCCCGCCCUCUGUAAGGGACCCCGAGGGCGGCGCCGGAAACACGGAGAAGGCCCAGAACGGCGCGGGACCCGAGAGGCCUACGUUGGCAAACGCAGCCCGCUGCCCCUUUGCUCGCUUCCCCCGGGCCUGGAGUGGCUCCUGUCGCUUCUGGCGCUCCGAUUUCGAGAAAUGACUUUCAGCUGUGCAAGGCGAGAAUGCUACUUUAGAUGAUGAGAAAAAAUCUCUCGAAUGGCUCCCAAAAUGAGGUCCUUGUUUAAGAGGCCACAGGAAGCCGCUAGCCGAACUCUGAUACCAAAGAGGAGGCCAAGAAGCGGACUGUGGCUUGGUGACCUGUUUGGUAUUGCCAAAUUUUCAGCUUUUAUUAAAGCUGAAACACCUUGGCUGUUUAAAACGUUCGACAAGGACUUUUUUAUGAACGUUAACGGCACAGCAUACGGGUUUUUUGGAAAAAAAAAAAGGCAGGACUUCAGCCCGUCCGCCCCCUUGUGCAGGUCCAUUCAUGAACCUCGAGUUAGAGGCCUUUCUUCUGAAACUCAGAAUCUAGUAGGGAAGACCUGUGUAGACGAAUAAAAAUAAAUACAUCACAGCUUGUUAAGUGCUGUGACAAAGAGGCAGUGAAAUCCUGCUUGAGGUCAUCUGCCUUGCUAAAGAGGUUUGACUAUGUUGUAGGCACAGGGUUAGGGUUAGACUCUGUAAUGGGAAGUUAUGUGAUCAGAUUUCUGUUUAGGAAGAUCACUGGCCAGGCGGGGUGGCUUACGCCUGUAAUCCCAAUACUUUGGGAGGCCGAGUCGGUGGAUUGCUUGAGGCUAGGAUUUUGAGACCAGCCUGGGGAAACCGCGUCUCUACUAAAAAUUUGAAAUUAGCCAGGCAUGGUGGUGCGAGCCUGUAAUUCCAGCUACUUGGAGGCUGAGGCGGGAGAAUAGCUUGAACCCAGUGGCGGAGGCUGCAGUGAGCCGAGAUUGCGCCACUGCACUCCAGCCUGGGCGACAGAGCGAGAUUCCGUCUCAAAAAAAUCAUUGUAAGUAAUUGGAUUUUUGUGUGUGUGUGAUGUUCUGAAGAUAGGCUUUCUAGGCCAAAUCGUCACUCAAGGCCAAUUCGAACACAAUUCAGUUUAAAUCAGAAUACAUUCGAGUGAUAAUUCCUUACCUUUUUAAAUAGUUCAUAGAAAACUUUUUGUAGACAUUAUCUGGUUUAAUUCUGAUUGUAAUCCACAUGAAUUCUCUUAUCCACAGUAAGGAACAGUAAUUUAGAAGACUAAUAAACUGUUCCAAGAUCACACAGCUAGUAAAAGUGGAACUCAACCUAAAACUCCAGAGUCAAGCUUUUCCAUCAUGUAGACUCAGUUUAAUAGUAAUAGUUAAUUAAAAAUUCUAGAGAAAAAUGUGGGAAACAAUUUCCUCACAAGUGACCAGCUGCAAAUGUUAUUUGUAUUCCAUUAACCAACAUUUAUUGGGUGCCUGUUAUAUAAAAGAUAAAACUGGGUUCUGCCUUCAAAGAGUUCACUUGAAAUUUAAAAUUUAUGUGAAAAUUUAGCACUUCCUACAGUGUUUUAAUAGCUAUUUCAACAGUGUUGGUGUUGUAUGACAAGGUGAUAAAUUUCUUGACAAUAACAAUAGCACAAUUCUGUAUAUGGAUUGGGCAUUCUGUGAUCUUUGGGUGAUUUAUCUUGCUACCUUUCUUACCUUGGGGGUUUAGUUAACACUUAUGUUCCUCCCCUGAGCAGUGAAGUAAAAUCUAAGUUUAUGUUUCAGUUCUAUUUUGAGUAUUUUGAGUUACUAAGACAGGACCUUAAGGAAGUCAGUUUGACCUCAUUUCCAACUGAGAGAGUCCAUAGAUGUCAUUCAAGACUAAUUUUCUGAUUCUAAGGAAAAAGGGAAGUCUUUUUUUUUCUUCCUCUCUUUAUUUUUGAAUGAAUAAUGCUUGACAUGGACAACACAGACUUUUAGUGAAGACAGAGAGUCCUAGUGAUGAAACCACCUUUGCAAAAAUUACAACUGAGAAAAUUAUGACAGUGAAAGAGAUCUGACCUAACCAAUUCCAUCUUGCUUCUAAACUCUGUCCUUGUUCAUUCCUGGGCAUAGGCAGAACUAACUCUGGAAGGAACUUAGUUUAUAGUGUAACUUUGAAACAAAGAUGAUAACAGCUCAUUCUGAAAACAAACCCCUUUCUGGCCUGGGGACCAGACUGCCUUUUUAGGGCUAGCAAAUUAGCCACAAGAUUAGAAAUUACAGUUUAGGAAUAAUGCAGCUAGAGGCCACAAGAUUCUAAACCUCCCCAAUUGUUCCUAAGGAUAAUAUCACUAUUGUAAAACCCAAGAUUGGUGCUUAAGAUGUUUUUCAGACCCCGCACUCAUGGAUCAGCUGGCAUCACUCAGAUGGAUAAACUGGCUCAUCUAGUCCUGUAGCCCCCACCCAAGAACUGACUCAGUGCAAGAGGACAGUUUCAACUCCCUAUGAUUUCAUGUCACACCAGAGCCAUCAAUUCUCCCCGCUCCCUGGUCUCCUACUCCCCCAAAUUAUCCUUUAAAAAUCCCAGUCUCUGAAUUUUCAGGAGACUGCUUUAAGUAAUAAUAAAACUCUGGUCUCCUGUUUAGCCAGCUCUGUGUGAAUUAAACUCUUUAUUGCAAUUCCUUUGUCUUGAUGAAUCCACUGUCUGGGCAGCGGGCAAGAUGAACCCGUUGGGUGGUUACAAUGACACCAGGAACCCCUGGGAUCAAGACUUGCUCGAAGCCAGCCACACUUGAGACCUGUUAACCAAAAAAAAAAAAAAAAAUCCUUUUCUUAUUUAAGUCCAGUUUUCUUUUACUUGCAUCAUGAAGCAACCUAAAUGAUAACAGAAGUUUUAUUGCCAAAUAUACCAGUUACAGUCUUAAGAAAGUCGCAAAGGAAAAACUCAGAGCAAAGAUUUUCAGUCUUCAUAAGUUCAAAAUGUAUACUUUUAUCAUGUCUGAGAAAAGAAAGCAAUCAAUAUAUUCACAUCUUUUUCUGGGUAUAUGUGAUAUUUUUCCAUUGGAUAAUGAAUAGUAAACACUUUUACAAUAGCAAGUUGACAAAAUGAGAAUGUAUAAAAGAAAUUAAAAUAUAUCAACUAUUAAAUAAAUGCCAGGCAUUAUGCAACAAACCUUAUAUGCAUUAUUUCAAAUAAUUAUUAUAACUACUCUGAAUAGACACAUUAUUUCCAUUUUACAGAUGAGAAAAAUGAGGUUCAAAGAAGUGAUGUCAUGUUCUCUGAUUCUGUCUAUAUUGGAUACCUGGUGACGAUCUCCCCCUGUCUAAUACCCUAAACAUACGUUCACCUGCAUGCUGCUUCUGUUCUGGACCUUUGCGCUGGAUGUAGUCCCAACAGAGUGGCUUGCUGGGAGGAGGGAGAUACUUUUCAGAUAAGGCACUAGCACUUCAUCCUAACAACUUCUCCAUACUGAGGCAACAUUUUUAAAUACACAGAGAAUGCCUAGGAUUCAAUUGUUGAGAAAAAUUGAUGUAAGUCUGUUUGUCUCAAAGAAAGCUAUCAGGAACUACAGUUUUAUUAACCUAAAUGAACACCUGGUUUGAUGAUGACUAUGUAAAUGUAUUUUUAGCUAAUUAAUUUAUUAUUUCUGCCCAUCAGCCAACGAGUGGAUAAAGAAAAUGUGAUAUAUAUGCACUAUGGAAUACUAAGCCAUAAGAAGGAAUGAAAUAAUGGCAUUUGCAGCAACCUAGAUGGAGUUGGAGACCAUUAUUCUAAGUGAAGUAACUCAAGAAUGGAAAACCAAAUAUUGUAUGUUCUCACUCGUAAGUGGGAGCUAAGCUGCGAAGAUGCAAAGGCAUAAGAAUGAUAUAGUGGACUUUGAGGACUCAAGGGUUGAAGGAUGAGACUACACAUUGGGUACAGUGUGCACUGCUUGGGUGAUGAGUGCACCAAAAUCUCAGAACUCACCACUGAAGAACUUCCCCAUGUAACCAAAAACCACCUGUUCCACAGAAACUAUCGAAAUAACAUUUUUAAAACUUUACUAUUUCUGAAUAAAAUUUACAUACAUUUCUCAGAAAAAAAAAUAUUUGGAAUUGAGGUAUCUAAUAGAGAACUGAGUUAAAUUAUUGCCACUUAAAAACACAAAGUGAUAUAGCCACUUUAUGAAUUAAUCAGUCAGCAGUGGCUAGGUUAUGCUUAGUGGUUUAUAACCAAAUCUUAGUUUAUAACAACAAAUGUGUAUUGUUAAUUCCCACUACAAGUUUAUAACGACAUUGCUGGAUGCUACACUCCAUGUCUCUUUGUGGGACCCAGGCUCAUGGGACUUCUGUUACCUGCAUUAGAGAGAGAGAAGACAACAAAAUAUGCACUGGUUCUUGAAGCUUUGGCCCAGAAGUAAAAUAUGUCUUUUACCUGUUCACAUUGCAUUGGGCCAGGGCAAUUAUCAUGGCUGCAAGUAACUUCAAAAGGAUGGGGAAGUGCGAUCUUGGCAUGUGUCAGAAGAAAUGAAAACAUUUGGUGAAGAGCAUUAAUGACUGUCUUUACAGGAAAAAAGCAAUCAAAUAGACAUGAUUGCUUGUUUCAGUUUCAUCAUUUCCUACUGUGUUACCUAAACUUUCUGAGCCCCAGUUUCUUAUUACUAAAAUAAAAUAAAGAUGAUAUUCACUUCAAGGACUUUGUGUUAACUAGGGUAAAAAAAUUGAAAACUAGUAAGUUAUGCAAAUUAGAAAUGUAUAAUAUUACUGCUUUGAAAGUGAUGGUGAAAUGUAGAAUAAUUGGAAGGAUAACACAAAGCACUUAUACCAGGAGGCUUUUAGCUGCAGAUAAUAGAAAUGAACCUCCACUACUUUAAUCAAUAAAAAAGUGUAUCAGCUCACAAAUUUGUCAUCCAGACAUAAAGGAGGCUUCAGAAUUUAUUGACUCAGGAGUUGAAUGUUGGUAUCAAGGACCUAGAUUUUUCUCAUCACUCUGCACUUCAAUUCUCAAUGCCCUAUUGAACAUCAGGCUGUAGUAAGAUGGCUAGAGUGAUUCCAGGGAUAACAUCUAGAGAUAAAAAAGAGAACUCCUUUUCUUAUGAUUUUUUUCUUAAGAGAAAAGGAAUUUCCCAAAAGCCCCCAGCAAGCAUGCCUUCACAUCCCAUGGCCAGAAGUGGCUCACAUGUGUACCCUGAGCUAAGCACUGCAGACAGGAAUGGAAUCGCCUGUAGGCCUCAGAGACCACCUGGAUCUUGGGAAGGUGUCAGCUCUACCUGUGGCACUUGGCUGAGUGGGAAAGGGAUGGAAACAUGAAUAAAGUAAGAAUUAGGAAGGAAAAGGAGAAAUGGAUCCAGGGUAUGAAGCCAAUAGUUUAGUUAUCUCAACAAAUAUGAUUGAUUUCAUCUUUAUGAAUGUGAUGACCUAAUUUAAUACAUUCAAUCAAUGAAGUAAAAAAAAGUGCAAGGACAAUAUGACAUCUGUCAUUCUCUGUUGAGAUUUGAGAGGUAAUAAUACCAAGAACGUGUGGUGACCUGGGUCCUCACUGCUACUGUCUUCCUGUACCUGGACACUUCUAGCAAGAGACUUCAACUUCAGAACAAAGAGGAUCCCAACUUGUAGCUGCAUUAUACACACCCCAGCAGCACACAUAAGUUGAUUUCUAAUUAUUCCUCUUUAAGAAAUUGUUUGUGGAAUAUUUAUCUAUUUAUAAAUGGAAAAAUAGAAAAUUAAAAUAACAAAAAUAAGUAACACCAUGUAUUGAGUGUCUACUGCGUGCUAGGCACUGUGCUAAGUGUUCUGCAUAUAUUGUCAUUGUGCUGCCAACGACUCUGCAAUAAAGAUGUUCCCAUUCCUACUUUACAGCUAAGGAAACCAAGGAUCUGAGAAAUAACGUAUUUUGCCCAAGAUUAUCCAACUGGUAAAAUCUGGAGUCCAAAUUUGAACCAGAGUCCAUUCAACACACUUUCACCUCUACACCAGUGCUUUCUGAGUUUGCUGAACAUUAGAAUCACCUCAGGAACUUAAAAAAAAUUCCCAGGUGAUACCCCAUAGCAAGUAAAUUAGAAAAUCGGGCAGGGGAAGAGGAACCCUGGCAUCAGUACUUUUUAAAGUCCCCAGGUACUUACAAUGUGGAGGAAAGUUUGGGAACCACUGUGCUAUAUUAUGUUGCCUCUUCAGCCAAGAAUGUAAACCAGAAUCUUUUCUUCCAAGGCCAAGAGCAGUGAAUGAUAGCUUAUGGUAUAUACUCUCAUUCCCAAGUGAUCCUCUUCCUCAGGAGUUCUGCUUUAGGCUAACUAAUUUCAAGUUUCCCUUUCACUACAUUUCUCACCCAUCUGAAGCUAAAAAUGUUACAGGAGACAUGCUGAAUUUGUUGCUUUUUCUCUGUUAUCUCUCCUUUUCAGAGCCGCCUCCCCUUACUUUACUUCACCUGCUAAAGUAUCCCUGAACUCUGCCUUCUGGGGUUGAAAGUGGGAUUUUAAAUAAACUAUAGAUGGCUUCCUUUAUUUGGUUAUAAUUAUUUAAAAUUUGAAGGAAGCAUUGGUCAUUUUUGGUGACUAGUCAUUUUUGAUGACUAAGUGUCAUUUAAAGUUUCAUUUCCUUUAAAUUAACAUUUUUUGUCAUUCCAUUCAAAUGCCUACUUACAAUGGCAAUAAGAAUAUGCUAUGAACACUUAACCACCCACACUAGAAUUUUAAAUCUAAGUUCUUCUCGAAUGCUGUUUUGGUGAAUUUCAGUGUGGGAGGUGAGAUGAUUUAAAGCUUCAGAUUUUCUGUUAUAGUCAAAGGCAUAAUUUAUCUGACAUCUUUUUUCAUUCUGCCUAAGGAAUUACACUAGAAUAAUGUUUUUAAAUAAAAUUUGUCCACAUAAUGACAUUUUUUUCAAUUCUAUCCAAACUAAAAUAGCUCCAAAGCGUUUACUUAUCAUAACUGUUAAGAAAUUAUACUUGCCAGGCAUGGUAGCUCAAGCCUGUAAUUCCAGCACUUUGGGAGGCUGAGAUGGGUGACCUCCACUUGAGGUCAGGAG